GCCACGGUGGCACAACCUGGUACUGCGCUGGCCUUGAGAGCCAGUUUCCUUCGGGAUAUCCCGGUUCGAAUCCGGGCCGUGGCG
rnacentral:tRNA from 1 species